UUAAGUAGUAACUGGGAGUUUUUAAGUGUCUUUGACAACAUUGAGUGGAGGGAUAUUAUGAAGUUACAUUUUCAAUUUUCUCCAGUUGCAAAAGAAAAUGUAACAGCUGAAUCCUAAGUCAGGGCUACAGUAUUGCCAACAGAGGACGAAAGAAAUCUAAAGGAUUUUGCUUCUCUGCAUGACCCAGCGAUUCCAACAGUGAAAAGUUAGAAUGGUAAAUUUCCUAACAGCUGAAGCCUCUGGCAGAGUAAAGGCAACACCUGACUGAUACGUUAUCUUCCUACCGAGGCUCUGCAUGUAAGGAAAAAUUUCAAGUAUUUGCUCAGCUGACUCUGCUUGAAUUACUCUCUCUCCAUUGCAAUUCCCCUGUCUGGAUAAGCUGGCCCUGUCUAGGCAGCAGGCAAGGUGAACACUUGAUUACAAAAGGAUGAAGAAACUGAAGAAUCAACAACUCUUAGAUCGAUCAGAGAAGCGAGGGCACAGGGCAAACCACUGCCUCCAAAACUGGAAUAAACAACAUUUAUAAUCCCAGACCUGUGGGAAGCAUUUCCAGGAAAUAUGGAUCAUCACAUUGGCUCUUGUUACCAGAACUGUGCAAGGCUCCCAUUGGCCGAACACAACUGGAUUUCAGAAGACUUAAUGGAGACUAUACAGGAAUGACCUGCCUUGUUGUAAGAGGUUUGGGGAGAGAGCCAUGUGGCAAGCAACUGCCAGCAGCCUCUUGGAACUCCUGGCUAACAGUCAGCAAAAAGCCAGAAACCUCAGUUUACAACCACAAAAUGAUGAAUCCUGCCAACAACCUGAGUCGGUUUUGCAGUGGAUCCAUCCCCAGUCAAGCUUUCUGAUGAGAAUCCAGCUCCAGCCAAGAGCUUUUGCUGUUGUUCUUGUAAUUAAUUGUUCCAAGCAUCCAUUCUUUCUGUAGCCUCAAGAUGGUAUAUACGAUUUUGCACUUCGUUGGGAGGUCAUGCUGAUACAAGAGGUGAGCUCCCACAGCCUCGGGCAGCUCCUCCCCUGUGGCUUUGCAGGAUACAGCCCCCAUCCUGGCUGCUUUCAGGGGCUAGUGUUGAAUGUCUGCAGCUUUUCCAGGCGCAUAGUGCAAGCUGUUGGUGGAUCUAUCGUUCUGGAGUAUGGAGGAUGGUGGCUCUCUUCUCACAGCUCUACUAGGCAGUGCCCCAGUGGGGACUCUGGGGCAUCCAACCCCACAUUUCUCUUCCACACUGCCCUAGCAGAGGUUCUUCAUGAGGCCCCACCUCUGCAGCAAACUUCUGCUUGGACAUCCAGAUGACAGGUAUCAUUAUCCAUGUGGAAGACUAGGCUGGAAGAGCUUGUCUCCAACUUUGAAGAAGUGAAAAAACCAGAUGUUUGGGGCAAUUCAGAAGUCUGUGGAAGUUGAAGGUGUUAAUCAAUGGCACUCAGGUUACUUCCAAGAGAAACUAUUCAGGAUUUCCAAGUAACGAAGAAUCAAGCUAGUUUGUAAUGUCCUCAAAGAAAGAAACAUUUUCAUUUCUACAUGACCAGCAGCUAUCAUAGGGGCUGGCACACAGAUUUCUCAUCCUGGGAGAAACCAGCUGCCAGGUCUUGAGGAACACUCAAGCAGCACUGUGGGGAGACCCAUGUGGUGAGGAACUGGAGCCUCUGGAUAACACUCAGCAGAAACUGAGGCCUUCCAACAACCCCAUGAGUGAUACUGAAAGCAGAUCUCCCAGCCCCAGUCAAGCCUUCGGAUGACUGCGGCCCAGUAACAGCUUGAAUGCAACCUCACAAGAGACGUUGAGCUAGAAGCAGCUAGCCAAUCCACUCUUGGAUUCCUGACCCUCAGAAACUGAUAAUAAUAAAUGUUUGCUGUUUUAAGCUGCUAAGUUUUGUAGUAAUUUGUUACAGAGCAACAUGUAACUAUCAUAUGUUAAUAUUAACAGUGAGAUGGUGGCAAAAUACCAACCCACAAUGUGGAAGUGGCUUUAGAACUGAGCAAUGGGCUUUGACGAAAGGGUUAGUGACAGUCUGUAGUGCCUCGAACACACCGUCAAUAGAAGCCUUGUGGUUUUUCCUAAAGCUACAGGUGAGGGCUCACAGGUAAAUGAAGCAAAUGUUGGAAACUAGAGAAAGAGGGAAUUCAUUAUGUUGUAGUAAAAAAAUUAGUAAUGCUUUUGCCUGAAG
rnacentral:lncRNA from 10 species